GUCGAGCGAACAGAUAAGGAGCUUGCUCCUUUGACGAUAGCGGCGGACGGGUGAGUAACACGUGGGUAACCUACCUAUAAGACUGGGACAACUUCGGGAAACCGGAGCUAAUACCGGAUAAUAUGUUGAACCGCAUGGUUCAAUAGUGAAAGAUGGUUUUGCUAUCACUUAUAGAUGGACCCGCGCCGUAUUAGCUAGUUGGUGAGGUAACGGCUCACCAAGGCAACGAUACGUAGCCGACCUGAGAGGGUGAUCGGCCACACUGGAACUGAGACACGGUCCAGACUCCUACGGGAGGCAGCAGUAGGGAAUCUUCCGCAAUGGGCGAAAGCCUGACGGAGCAACGCCGCGUGAGUGAUGAAGGUCUUAGGAUCGUAAAACUCUGUUAUUAGGGAAGAACAAACGUGUAAGUAACUGUGCACGUCUUGACGGUACCUAAUCAGAAAGCCACGGCUAACUACGUGCCAGCAGCCGCGGUAAUACGUAGGUGGCAAGCGUUAUCCGGAAUUAUUGGGCGUAAAGCGCGCGUAGGCGGUUUUUUAAGUCUGAUGUGAAAGCCCACGGCUCAACCGUGGAGGGUCAUUGGAAACUGGAAAACUUGAGUGCAGAAGAGGAAAGUGGAAUUCCAUGUGUAGCGCUGAAAUGCGCAGAGAUAUGGAGGAACACCAGUGGCGAAGGCGACUUUCUGGUCUGUAACUGACGCUGAUGUGCGAAAGCGUGGGGAUCAAACAGGAUUAGAUACCCUGGUAGUCCACGCCGUAAACGAUGAGUGCUAAGUGUUAGGGGGUUUCCGCCC
rnacentral:rRNA from 1 species